UACGUAGGGUGCGAGCGUUGUCCGGAAUUAUUGGGCGUAAAGGGCUCGUAGGCGGUCUGUCACGUCGAAAGUGAAAACUCAGGGCUUAACCCUGAGCCUGCUUCCGAUACGGGCAGACUAGAGGUAUGCAGGGGAGAACGGAAUUCCUGGUGUAGCGGUGAAAUGCGCAGAUAUCAGGAGGAACACCGGUGGCGAAGGCGGCCCGCUGGGCAGUGACUGACGCUGAGGCGCGACAGCGUGGGGAGCAAACAGG
rnacentral:rRNA from 1 species